GUUCCAGCAGCCGCGGUAAUACGUAGGUUGCAAGCGUUUUCCGGAUUUAUUGGGCGUAAAGCGAGCGCAGGCGGUUUCUUAAGUCUGAUGUGAAAGCCCCCGGCUCAACCGGGGAGGGUCAUUGGAAACUGGGAGACUUGAGUGCAGAAGAGGAGAGUGGAAUUCCAUGUGUAGCGGUGAAAUGCGUAGAUAUAUGGAGGAACACCAGUGGCGAAGGCGGCUCUCUGGUCUGUAACUGACGCUGAGGCUCGAAAGCGUGGGGAGCAAACAGGAUUAGAUACCCUGGUAGUCC
rnacentral:rRNA from 1 species